ensembl:lncRNA
GGCCGAUUAUCUAGCGGAGCUGCGAGUUAUACAUAUACAUGCGAACACUGACCGGUCAAGCUGCCAGGCCAAACCUGUCUUUUCUGUCCUUUUGUUGUUCAGAUGUGCUAGUGAAGUCUUUUGUAUAUAAAAAAACAGACGGAUAAGAAAUGAUUGAUUGUCAUUUUACUUCUUAUAUUUGUAUUUUCUCUCAAUUUGUUUUUUUAAAAAAAGGGAGAGGAAUAGAAUGAAGUGGAAUAAAAAGGAGCAGAAUAAAAUCAAGUGGAAGAGAAUGGAACAAAAUGGAGCAGGCCAAAUUAGAAUAGAACGGGACGGAGUCGAACGGAGCAGAGUGGAAUCGGACAGAAUGGAGCGGAGAGGAAUGGAGCAGAACGGAACAGGAUGGAGCAGAACGGAGUGGGUAGAAUAGAGCGAAGCGGAAUAGAACGGAGCGGAACGGAAAAGAAUGGAGCGGAAUAGAACGGAACCGAUAGAAUGGAGCGGAGUAGAACGGAACAGAACAGGAAAAGAAUGGAGCGGAACAGAACGGAACCGGUAGAAUGGAGCGGAAUAGAACGGAACCGGAAAGAAUGGAGCGGAGUAGAACGGAACCGAUAGAAUGGAGCGGAGUAGAACGGAACCAGUAGAACGGAACAGAACGGAAAAGAAUGGAGCGGAGUAGAACGGAACCGGUAGAAUGGAGUGGAACAGAACAGAACGGAAAGAAUGGAGUGGAAUAGAACGGAACCGGUAGAACGGAGCAGAGUAGAACGGAACCGGUAGAACGGAGCGGAAUAGAACGGAACCGGUAGAACGGAGCGGAAUAGAACGGAACCGGUAGAACGGAGCGGAAUAGAACGGAACCGAAAAGAAUGGAGUGGAACGGAACAGGGCGGAAUAGAGUGGAGCAGAAUAGAACGGAACGGAGUGGAAUAGAGUGGAGCAGAAUAGAACGGAACGGAGUGGAAUAGAGUGGAGCAGAAUAGAACGGAACGGAGUGGAAUAGAGUGG